rnacentral:lncRNA from 1 species
UUUUCCCCUCUCCCCUUUUCUUUGUAUUUCUCUUUUUCUGUAGAGUUAAACAAUAAGGUUGCCACGUUUUUUAAAUGUUUAUGAAAUCUCCUGUCAUCUACUCAGAAAGAUGACUCUUCAAAAAUAUUAAGCCACUAGUUAGGCCUUGUACAGCCCUGGAAUUCCAGCUACCAGAGAGGCAGAGGCAAGAGAGUUGCAAGUGCAAGACCUGCCUGGGCUACAGAACGAGUUUAAGAUCACCCUUGGCAACUAACGGCUGAGUGAAAUGGCUCGACUAAAGACUCUUACUGCCAAGCCUGAUAAUCCGAGUUCAAGUCAUGGCACCUGCAAGGUAGAAGGGGAGAAUCAAACUAUCCUCCAACUUCCAUGUGUGCCCUCACAAUAGGGAAGUCAAGGCAGGAACCUGAAGCAGCUAGUCACAUUGUGACAGGGCAAGACAGUGCAGAAGUUCCUCCGUCUUGUAUUCCUGUUGAGGCCGGUUCCAGGUUUAACUCAGAUCUGAUCUUGAUGGGGAAUCCCAUGGAAAACUACCAAACUCUAUUCUGGGGCCCAAAGGUCAGGAUGUCCUAGCUAACUUAUCUUAGCCUUUGCUAAAACUGCUUGUUUGUGCAGAACCUCCUCCAGCUAACCAUUCACCUUAGCUGCCUGUUUGCUUGGAACCACCCCCCUUGGCUAGCUAAAUGCUUAUCUCAGCGUCUGUUAAAACUUCUUGCUUCAAACUGCACACUCUUCAAAGCCCCAAUUCCCGCUGCCAAGGGAGAUGCCUGAGUGAGGUCUCUGCUCUUAAAAACCUAUAUUCUGAACACUUGGGACCAUACCUAGGUCCCAGAACACCUGGGUAUGGUCCCAUCCAUUUGGAAUAAAGACUUUCAAUUGGCUAUA